AUUUAAUAUAAAACUUUAAAGUUAAAGUCAAAAUUAUCCAAGGAUCUUUGUUUUUUAGUCACCGUGAUACUGAACUCGGAUAAGUAUAUGUGGUGGGUACCCUCUAUUUUUGCAUAUUACAAUAUUAACCCCAAGAUUAGUAUUAUAUCCAACCAUCUACUCUAAAACCCCAGUCAGUUAUAACUAAAACCCUUUCCCUGAAACUUGAGUGAGGGUUCAUCUCUCAGCAAUCUGCAAAAUUAGAAACCAUCGUCGAACAACGAUGGGUUUGAUCACAAACUCUCGGAAGAAGCGCUGAUAUCCUCACGUCGCUGCUUCACCCCACAACAAAAAUGGUGCUGAGUUUAAUCGAAUGAAAGCACAACAACAUGAGAUGGAAAGACAAAGGAUUAUAUAUGAUGGAAUGUGCUUGGUGAAAAGUCAAACUGGAGAUUUUGAUCUGAAUCUCAAAACAAAGGGUACCUAUGGUUAUCACAAUGCUAUAUGGCCAAAGGAAGGGAAUUUUGGAAAUGGAAAAG